rnacentral:misc_RNA from 1 species
CCUCCCCCAACAACCAUAUUGAUCACAAUCCCAUCUGCCCCCAAACAACUAGCUAUUCGUCUUGCAUAUGUUUCCUUCUUCAUUGGUAACUCGUAAUUAAUCAGAAUACGAGCAGAAAAGGGCGACUCCCCAGAAGCAAGAAGAGGAAGGCAAGCAUCUGUUACAACUAUCAUAUGAGAUUUGUCCUCAUCUUUUUCAAUUUCUUCAUCUCCUGACUGAACAGUGACAUUCUGGUUCCACCUCAUU